rnacentral:misc_RNA from 1 species
AAGACUAUAGACCUGCGGAGUACCUGCGGAGGGAUCAUUACCGAGUCUCCGACUCCCAAACCACUGUGAACCUACCUCUUUAGCGCUCCGCCGGGCCGGCCCGGGGGGUCGGUUGCCGCUAGGCGCCCGGCGGAGCUCUGGAAAAUCUCUCUCAGCGAGCUUCUGAGUCUUGUCUCUAAAAGAGUCACAACUUUCAACAAUGGAUCUCU